rnacentral:rRNA from 1 species
UGAAUACGAGAUGCUACGGCGUCGAAGCAGUGUAUGUCAGACUUCCAAGAAAAGCUCGCAAUGUCAUAAAUAAAGAAUGCCUGUACCAUAACCGACACAGGUGGGUAGGUAGAGUAUACUAAGGGGCGCGAGAUAACUCUCUCUAAGGAACUCGGCAAAAUAACUCCGUAACUUCGGGAGAAGGAGUGCCUUCUUUAAGAAGGUUGCAAUAACAAGAUCCAAGCAACUGUUUAUCAAAAACACAGGUCUCCGCUAAGUCGUAAGACGAUGUAUGGGGGCUGACGCCUGCCCAGUGCCAGAAGGUUAAAGAAGCUGGUUAGCAAUAGCGAAGCUGGUGACUGAAGCCCUGGUGAACGGCGGCCGUAACUAUAACGGUCCUAAGGUAGCGAAAUUCCUUGUCGGGUAAGUUCCGACCCGCACGAAAGGCGUAAUGAUUUGGAUACUGUCUCGGAGAGGGACUCGGUGAAAUAGACUUGUCUGUGAAGAUGCGGACUACCUGCACCAGGACAGAAAGACCCUAUGAAGCUUUACUGUAACCUGAAAUUGAAAUUGGACUUUAUUUGCGCAGUAUAGGUGGGAGGCGUUGAAAGUAAUCUUGCGGGAUUAGUGGAGCCAUCAGUGAGAUACCACUCCUAUAAUGUUAGAUUUCUAACUUUGGAUCAUGAUCUGGUCAAAGAACAGUUUCAGGCGGGCAGUUUGACUGGGGCGGUCGCCUCCCAAAUGGUAACGGAGGCGUACAAAGGUUUCCUCUGAACGGGUAGAAAUCGUAUCUAGAGUGUAAAGGCAUAAGGAAGCUUGACUGUGAGACCUACAAGUCAAGCAGGGACGAAAGUCGGUCUUAGUGAUCUGACGGUGCUGAGUGGAAAGGCCGUCACUCAACGGAUAAAAGUUACUCUAGGAUAACAGGCUGAUCUCCCCCAAGAGUUCACAUCGACGGGGAGGUUUGGCACCUCGAUGUCGGCUCAUCGCAUCCUGGGGCGGUAGUACGUCCCAAGGGUUGGGCUGUUCGCCCAUGAAAGCGGUACGCGAGCUGGGUUCAGAACGUCGUGAGACAGUUCGGUCCAUAUCCGGUGUAGGCGUUAGAAUAUUGAGAGGAGCCUUCUCUAGUACGAGAGGACCGAGGAGGACAUACCUCUGGUGUACCAGUUAUCGUGCCAACGGUAAACGCUGGGUAGCUAUGUAUGGAGAGGAUAACCGCUGAAAGCAUCUAAGUGGGAAGCCCACCUCAAGAUGAGUAUUCUCAUCU